AGCCCAAGCUCCUGCCCUGGCCUCCCUGACCACAGACCGGCCUUUGUCCUCAUUUGCAGAUGGCAGUGACUAAAGUGACCCCAACUUGACAUUUUUGAGAUCAGUAACCAUAGAACAGGGCUAUCCCUGAGCAAAAUCCCCGAGCAAAAUUCCUCUCCAUGGCACCUCACUCCCACUCACUGGUGGGGCCCAUCGGUUUUCCUCUGACCACUUCUGCCCCUAACUCAAAAAUCGCCCAGCCUGACCAAGCUGCUCCCGCCGGGCUGGUUGGGCUCCGCAUGGGGAAGCACAGGUCGGGUUUGAAAUUAUUUCCACAUUGUUGGUGUUAGUUUUGAGAUGCUGACACCUGACACAGGGCUGUUGUCACUCGCCUGGGGACAGCGGCUCCCACCAGUGUGCCCUUUGCCCGGAUGACCCCUCCCAUCCCACCAGAACCUGCUGUAACUGCAAGAGCAGCACAUCAGACAUCUUUCCACACGGGCUGACAGUUUUACCAAGUGGAGUUUAAUCCUUCCAAAUCAGGAGGAUUAUUUUGAAUAAGCCACUA